rnacentral:lncRNA from 1 species
UUCUCUCUCACUCUCUGCAGACACGCCACUCCACCCUCAUUUUAUCACCUCACCCUUCCCUCUCUCACAAUCAGAAAAAAAGGAAAAUUAAUAAAAAGAAAUCAUUCUUCUUCUUUCCAACAAAAAAACCCUUACGAAUCCCUCUUCCAAAUCCAGCCGCCGCCUACCAGCACACAAACCUUCAUUCACUCUUAAAACCCUCCAUCUUCA